UACGUAGGUGGCAAGCGUUGUCCGGAUUUACUGGGCGUAAAGAGCGCGCAGGCGGUCGGAUAAGUCGAAUGUGAAAGCCCCCGGCUCAACUGGGGAGGGUCAUUCGAUACUGUUCGACUCGAAGGCAGGAGAGGGAAGUGGAAUUCCCGGUGUAGUGGUGAAAUGCGUAGAUAUCCGGAGGAACACCGGUGGCGAAGGCGGCUUCCUGGACCGACACUGACGCUGAGGCGCGAAAGCUAGGGGAGCAAACGGG
rnacentral:rRNA from 1 species